GGGUGUGAAAGAGAAAGUUGACAGCGUGGAGCAGGAAAACGGUUCAGCGAGAGCCCACUUCCUCAAAACGUGAGCGGUGGAGGCAGGCGCUCAAAUGUCUCCUGUGGGAGGAUGUGGAGAAGCCGGAGCGCUCCCACGCGGCUGGUGGGCAGGCCGGGCGGCGGCCCCCGCGGGAACUCGGCCGUUCCUCGGAGGGUUGCGCGUGGGAUUACCAGACGGCUCAGCAGCUCCACUGCGGAGCUCGCCCCUGGUCUGAAAACAGGAGCCCACACCCCCGCACGCGACCUUCACCCAGCGCCGGGGACGGCAACCGGCUCGAUUCCACAGUGCGAACGGUCACCGCCGGAUAAACGGGUAAGUGGCGGAGCGUCGCUCAGCCGUGAGAGGAACGAGGUAGCGAGUUGGGCUGCAACAGGGACGGGGCUCCGACACAGCACGGGGCCAAGGCAAGCAAGCCAGGUUUCAAACAAACGUGUCUCCCCAUCACGACGCCAUCAGGAGAACUCAGGCUGUGGUGUCUCCGAGAACAUUCCUGAAAGAAGUCAGGACACAGGUUUUCCGAGAAAACCUCGGUGUUCCUCCCUUCCCACGGCGUGGGAUGGUCACCCCCUGACCUCUGCUCUUCCGGGUCACGGGACCACACUUCCCACGGUGGGUCCCAUCCUCGUGGUGUGGGUGGGACCAUCUGGCAGCCCCCGCCCGUAAGCUCUGCCCCGACAGCAAAGCCACUGGGCGCCCUCCCCGCUCCCCGCUCCCCGCUCCGGGCCUGAUCUAGGACGCGCGGAGCUCUGGGCCAUCUUCCCGCUCAGUGUGCCUCUCCCACGUGCUUCCUGUGAACCCGGACCCCCAGGGCCACCUGCCUGCCUGGCCUCUCCACCCACAUGGAAAUGGCGUCGCCAUCCACCGAGCACAGAGCCCGGGACUGUGCCUGUCCGCUCUGUUUAACGCGCGCGCCACGUCCACCUGAUGGCACGUCCCGACGUGUCACCUGGCGGUGUGUCCUGACAGCGCUGCCUCCGAGACGUGUCCCAACCCGAGGAGGUCGAGUCUCGUCCCGCCCCCGUCACAUCCUGCCUAGACCUGCAACGGUCCCCCGACGGGGCUCUGCCCGCACCCUCCUGGCCACGGUCACCCAACCACACGGUGCGGGCCGCCCAGCCUUACUGCCUCGCAGGCGCUCGGCCAGGCAGACAAGGAGCGCGAGCAAGAGCAGGGGGUGGGGGUUCCCGGAGGGAGUUCCGAGUCCAGUACGACCUCAGUAGCUGCCACAGCCUGGGCCAGGCGCCUCUCCCGCGCGCAAAUCUCGGCCGUGGCGCCUCGUCCUACCAGGCGCCACGCUGUCAGGCGCGGGCCCAGAAAGCCGAGGCCCCCUUGGGACGACGAGGCGGAGCUCUCGGGGACGGUCGGCACCGGACGUCUUCAGAAGAGCGCAGACCGGCCUUGCGGCCUCAGAGGAGCUCCCUUCCGCGCUUCCUGCCACGGCACGAGGCCCGUGAGUCCCCGGGCACAGGUGAGGGUCACCCUGCGGCCUCGUGUCAAACCCUUGUCUUACCAACCUUCAGAGCCAGGAGCCGAAAGUCAACGGUGCCUUGCCUUGGGGUUUGCCGGAACGAACCGCGCUUCGGCGAGGUUUUUGGUGCACACGGCCCAUUUGACUUGUGUGUGUGUGUGUGUACGUGUGCUCACGCACACGUCACGCAGAAUGUCCCACAGUGACCGCUCGUGAUCGUACGUUCACUGGCAGUGACCACAUCCACGCUCUUGCGCCACCAUCCCCACCGCCCGCCCCCCGAACGCUUUCAUCGUCCCGUGCGACUAUCGCUCUGAGCCGCUAAAAUGAUAGCUCCCCGCCCCCACCCGGGCCCCGGCAGCCACCAUGCCCCCCCCCCAUCCCCGUGAGUGAGCGGCGCUGGCCUGCCUCGUGUACGUGAACUGCGGCUCAUGUCCCCGAGCGCGGUGUCCUCGAGGUUCAUCCGGGCCGCCUCCUGUGUCACAACCUCCUUCCCUUUCAAGGCUACGCGGUAUUUCAUCCCGUGUGUAAACCACACUUUGUGGAUCCCCUGGCU